ACAGCGUCUUCGUUUGUUCCAAAUGUGUUGCAGAAAUGUAAACAUCUUCGAUAAAAAUGUCCAGUGAAAUGACAGUCCAAGCGCACCAUGACAUUUAUAUAAUUACAAAAGAGAAACAACUAUAAUUAUUCCAAACCCUUUCCGGAGAUUAAAAAAGGAAGGUGGAUGGUUUUGGGGGACUUUUUACCUCUCUUGUUUCAGGUAAAAACAUAAGGAAAAGGUUUGCUUAACAAGACAUAAUUGAGGAGACACCACGCUUUGGAAAAAGACCUUGUCUCUGAAGGCUACAGUGCAUUAGCAUCCCGCUGACUGAGUUUCUGGAAGGAAGCUGCCAGAUUAAUCAACCAGACGACACAGGUGGCUGGAGGCUGAGCACCAGAGAGAAAGCUCCCAUGUGGCUUCCUCUGCAGGAACCCUACCAGUCUCACAGAGUGAAGGCCCCAGAAAGAUUCUCUCAGAGCUCUGGUAGUGGGAAGAGGAGUCACCUGCCCUUCAGAACCUUCCAGAGCCUUCCAUCUGAGGAAAGGGAAUUCCUCGAACUCCAACCUUCUUCAGCUAGCUGAGCUCUUGCCAGAAGAAAUCCAGGGAACAUCAACAUGGCAGAUCUGGAGGAACCAACCGUGUGACUGGAGAAGUGAGGUUGUCCCUUGGAAUCUGAGGACUGGCUCCUAGGACCACCCUGCCAGGGGUACUCAAGUAUCUUCUGUAAGAUGGCACAGUGUACUCCUGUCUACCUCAGAGCAUCUUUGGAUAACUUACCACACCUGAAACAAUGCACAUGCUGUGUAAAAGGUUGCUCAGGAAACAAUAAUCCUAUUGUUUAGAGAAUAAAAGCAGGUCCAUACGUGUGUGGUAGAGAUGCAAUUUUCAAAAUAUUUUCAAUCUGCAGUUGGUUGAAUCCAUGGUUAGGGGACCUGUAGACAUGGGGACUGGCUGUCCUCACAAGGGUCACAGCUCUAUGACACAUGCUCACUAUAAGACAGAGCUCACUGGAAGGCUAUAGGCUGCCCCUUUCCUAUCAUCUUAUCCAAUGCCAACGAGGCUGCAGUAAAGGGCAGUAGUCACAGCCUCUCUGGGAGGAGGAAGAAACAGCACCAGGACAUUGGAGAUGUGGCAAAGACCACUCACUGCUGGCAGAUGAGCACAAGUCCCUCGGUGGAAGGUGCACUGACCCCAGUCCUAUUACCUGACCCUACGUAUGUGUCUUCAAGGAAAUGCGAUGGAGUCUCCCAAAUGAAAUGCAAAGAGAAGAAAGAAUUUACAACCAAAGCAUCCCAGAAACAUGAGGCCAGCUCCAAAGGUGCAACAUGCGUAGAAUGGGAGCAUGCCAGGAACACAAGGGUGGAGCAGAAGAAAUGCUCGAGUAGUGAUAGCUGAGAACUUUCCACAACUAAGGGACAAAAUCAAACCACAUAUUCAGACAGCAAUGAUGACAAAUAAAAACAAAAGCAAAAUUAUCUAGACCCAGAGUAUUCAGAUAUGAAGAAAACCAAAAGCAAACAAGAAAGUCUUGGGAGAAGCCAGAAGAAAAAUCCACUUUACGUAGAAAAAUAGUGGGAAUUGCAGGGAACUUUCCCAUAGAAACCAUGCAAGUGAUAUAUAAAGAGUAAAAACAAGGGCCAGGGAUUUAGCUCAGUGGUUUUGCUGCCUGCUGCACAAGAGCAAGGACCAGAGUUCGAUCCCCAGUACCAAAAAAAAAAAAAAAAAAA